GGAAAAGAAACCAACAGGGAUUGCCUUAGUAACGGCGAGUGAAGCGGCAAAAGCUCAAAUUUGAAAUCUGGCACCUUCGGUGUCCGAGUUGUAAUUUGAAGAAGGUAACUUUGGAGUUGGCUCUUGUCUAUGUUCCUUGGAACAGGACGUCACAGAGGGUGAGAAUCCCGUGCGAUGAGAUGCCCAAUUCUAUGUAAAGUGCUUUCGAAGAGUCGAGUUGUUUGGGAAUGCAGCUCUAAGUGGGUGGUAAAUUCCAUCUAAAGCUAAAUAUUGGCGAGAGACCGAUAGCGAACAAGUACAGUGAUGGAAAGAUGAAAAGAACUUUGAAAAGAGAGUGAAAAAGUACGUGAAAUUGUUGAAAGGGAAGGGCUUGAGAUCAGACUUGGUAUUUUGCGAUCCUUUCCUUCUUGGUUGGGUUCCUCGCAGCUUACUGGGCCAGCAUCGGUUUGGAUGGUAGGAUAAUGACUAAGGAAUGUGGCUCUACUUCGGUGGAGUGUUAUAGCCUUGGUUGAUACUGCCUGUCUAGACCGAGGACUGCGUCUUUUGACUAGGAUGUUGGCAUAAUGAUCUUAAG
rnacentral:rRNA from 1 species